UACGUAGGUGGCAAGCGUUGUCCGGAAUUAUUGGGCGUAAAGCGCGCGCAGGCGGUCCUUUAUGUCUGAUGUGAAAGCCCACGGCUCAACCGUGGAGGGUCAUUGGAAACUGGGGGACUUGAGUGCAGAAGAGGAAAGCGGAAUUCCACGUGUAGCGGUGAAAUGCGUAGAGAUGUGGAGGAACACCAGUGGCGAAGGCGGCUUUCUGGUCUGUAACUGACGCUGAGGCGCGAAAGCGUGGGGAGCAAACAGG
rnacentral:rRNA from 1 species